rnacentral:rRNA from 1 species
UACGUAGGGGGCGAGCGUUGUCCGGAUUUAUUGGGCGUAAAGAGCUCGUAGGCGGUUUGUCGCGUCGGAUGUGAAAACCCAGGGCUCAACCCUGGGCCUGCAUUCGAUACGGGCUAGCUAGAGUGUGGUAGGGGAGAUCGGAAUUCCUGGUGUAGCGGUGAAAUGCGCAGAUAUCAGGAGGAACACCGGUGGCGAAGGCGGAUCUCUGGGCCAUUACUGACGCUGAGGAGCGAAAGCGUGGGGAGCGAACAGG